rnacentral:rRNA from 1 species
UACGGAGGGGGCUAGCGUUGUUCGGAAUUACUGGGCGUAAAGCGCACGUAGGCGGACUGUUAAGUCGGGGGUGAAAUCCUGGGGCUCAACCUCAGAUGCCUCCGAUACUGGCAGUCUCGAGUGCGGGAGAGGUGAGUGGAAUUCCCAGUGUAGAGGUGAAAUUCGUAGAUAUUGGGAAGAACACCAGUGGCGAAGGCGGCUCACUGGCCCGUAACUGACGCUGAGGUGCGAAAGCGUGGGGAGCAAACAGG